ensembl:snRNA U6 U6 spliceosomal RNA
CUGCUUGCUUCAGCAACACACAUGCUAAAAUUAAAGUGACUCAGAAGAGAUUAGCAUGACCCUACACAAGGAUGACACACAAAUUCAUGAAGCAUUUCACAUUAAA